GGCGAACGGGUGAGUAACACGUGACUACCUGCCCUCGAGCGGGGAAUAACUCCGGGAAACCGGGGCUAAUACCGCAUAAUCUCGAGAGAGCAAAUGCGCAAGCAGCUGGAGGAGGGGGUCGCGGCUGAUUAGCUAGUUGGCAGGGUAAUGGCCUACCAAGGCGAUGAUCAGUAGCCGGCCUGAGAGGGCGCACGGCCACACUGGAACUGAAACACGGUCCAGACUCCUACGGGAGGCAGCAGUGGGGAAUUUUGCGCAAUGGGGGAAACCCUGACGCAGCAACGCCGCGUGGAGGAUGAAGUUCCUUGGAACGUAAACUCCUUUCGAGCGGGACGAUUGUGACGGUACCGCUAGAAGAAGCCCCGGCUAACUUCGUGCCAGCCGCCGCGG
rnacentral:rRNA from 1 species